UAUUUAUUAUUAAUUAUUCUUUAGUAUUUUAAGAACUUAAAACAUUAGGUACACGUCAAACUUUAGAAAGAGAUAAUUGACAGCUACAGUUUCCUAAAGCGUUGUCUCUGUCGUUGAAACUGACAAGUCAGUGACAAAGCAUCACAUAGGCAUGAGAGGUAUGAGUGACAGAGACGACAUUCUAAAGUUCGAUGUGUAAUAUUUACUGCCGGGUAUCUGCUUAAAUAUUAUUUCUUGAUGGAUACUGUACAAUGUAGGUACAGUAAGUAUUCACCUAAUGAAACGCCGAUAGUUUUGUAGUUUGAUGGAUAGAUAGUUACACGUACAGUAGGUAGGAUGUUAUGCCUAUUUUGGCAUAAGACAGUACCAGAACGCGAUACAUUCUACUUUGAUCAAUAAAAAUGAUAAAUGUACCAAGUAGAAAUAAGAAACAAAUUUAUUAUUAUUUAUUAUUGUACUUUGGUAUUAUCAAGAUAAUUUUCUAAAUUGAUACUACCGGUAAUCGAACCCGGACCUUUUGUUGACGAGGUGAAUGAGUUGCAACAUAGAAAUUGCACAAAAUGUGUCCGUAUCCAUGUCUCACUCUUUGACUACACAUUCAAUAGUGAUGUAUAUUAUAUUAUUGUAUCUCGUUCCUGGAAUACUGUCACAGUUCUUGCCUCCGUCACUAUACCAAAACCCGGCUAUAUCUGGAGGUAUAUCUCCGCCUAUGGGAGAAAUGAUGAUGCCUUCACCCAUGCAAAUGCCUGGCUUUCCCCAACAACGGCUACCGGUGAUGGUUAUGCCGUUUCACUCUAAAGUGGCUGAUCGAAAAUACAUGAGAAGGAAGAAGAGAAAGCCAAAGAAGAUCUAUGCUGAUUCAGAGUCAACUAGUUGCAGUGAUAGCGAAAGUUCCUCAUCUAGUAACGAACACUUCAGGAGUCAGAAACAUAGUCACAGAAAGAAGAAAAGACAAGUUUUAACACCAGUUAUAUCCUACGUAACAAGAAACGGGCGUGUUGUUUACCAGAAGAAGAUCAAGAAAGAGAACGCAGGAGACUGGUUGGAGAUCGGAAAGAAAAAGAUACCAUCUAGAUUAGUGGAAGAAGAAAAUAAUAGCGGUGGAAUGACGAUACGUGAAAUGAAAAAUAAAUAUGGAAUAAGGCAUAAUCAUCACAGUCAUGAUGAUUAGUUUUAGUAUUUUUCAACAUCAAAUAUUUUUCACCAUUUUUACAAUUAAACUAAAUGCUGCGGCUUAUGGUGCUAAUACUUGGCAUUUUCCUGUAUACUUUUAAAACCGGAUUAGCUCAAUCUUAUUCGAUGACCAAACAAAAUGCGAAUGAUUAUGAUGAUUACAUAAAUUCAUUUAGGCCGAAAUAUUUUUGGCCUUGGCGGCCUGGAUAUUACUUCGAUUACCCCAGUAAUACACCACGGGCUCUUUUCUUCUAUGGAAAGUAAAAUCACUAGGUACAAUACAUAAAAAUGU